GUUUUUAGCACAAAGCCCAGUUCAUGAGUAGAGGUUUCGAUGAGGAAUCUUGGCCAUGUACUGAGAGUUGUGCUAAACACAUCUUGAGUUCUUUGCCACCAAGGCGUUGUUAUUCUUCUCUGGAUUAUGAAAAUAAAGAGCUAAUGUGGUAAUAUCUCAUGAUAGCAAUUAACUGAUGUAGCAAAUGUCAUGGUUAACAGUUUUAGAUAAACAACCUAUCGUGGCCAUACAAAGACCUGCUGUUCCUACAUUAAACUCGUUGGUGUGUUCCGCAUCAGCCCAGUGUUGCCAGCCAACUAUCCGCUUCAGCAGAUCAGCAAUUAAUGCACAGAAGACCAUGGUCUUUCUGUCUCUGAAUCUCUGACCCAACGUGCGUACAGUGACAGAAUAUUUGUCAAAGUUAAUUUGAUGGCAAAACGUUCCUUGUUGUUCAUUUGU